UGAAUUAUGAUUGUGGUUAUGAUGCUAAACAGGGUGUUUGAAUGAAUAUUGUGUGAGAACGCAUGUUGUGUGAGGUAUUGAGCUCCAGAGUUUUUAUUGUUGUAUGCAUUGUUCAUAGGAAAACAUGAAUGAUAUUGCCUUAAUCUUGAUGGUUGAUUGAAUUGCAUGUGAAUGUCAUAUGAUCAAGGCCAUUUUUGAAAACC
rnacentral:lncRNA from 1 species